UACGUAGGGGGCUAGCGUUAUCCGGAAUUACUGGGCGUAAAGGGUGCGUAGGCGGUCUUUCAAGCCAGAAGUGAAAGGCUACGGCUCAACCGUAGUAAGCUUUUGGAACUGUAAGACUUGAGUGCAGGAGAGGAGAGUGGAAUUCCUAGUGUAGCGGUGAAAUGCGUAGAUAUUAGGAGGAACACCAGUGGCGAAGGCGAUUCUCUGGACUGUAACUGACGCUGAGGCUCGAAAGCGUGGGGAGCAAACAGGAUUAGAUACCCGUGUAGUCCCUGA
rnacentral:rRNA from 1 species